UACAGAGAAAUCACUGAAUUAGGAGUAAAGAUGUAUAAUGCAUAAGUUUGACAAUUUCUCCCCUUCCUCUUAAAGGCAUAAUCCAGAAAAUACAGAAUUAAUGCUCCAAUAAGUACAGCCCCCAUGUCCUACAUAAUCUCCUCUUCUCAUUUCUGUCCCCUGUACCAUUUUAAUUAGCCUCUCUCUACAUAGCCUCCCUUGGCCCCAAUUAAAACAAUCAUAAUGCAGCAUAAGUGCAGUGCCUAACUAAAAAAACAAACAGGUUUAUCAGAGCAUAUUGAUGAACUUUGAACAUUGUGCCCAGAAUUA